GAGAAGAGGAAAUAAAAACAAAGAAAGUCAAUUACAGUGAUAUGAAACCACAUAGACAUCAGCAAGGACUCCUGUGAUAACAUCACUAGUAAAACUAUCUACUGAGUACCUGUGGUUGGAAUAGUUUGUAAAACAAGGCUUUAUUGCCAGUGGGAGAGAUGAGCAGCAGCACACCCUGAACACAGCAACUCUGCUGAUCACUAAAAGGAAAUAGAGCAUUGGGAUACAUUCUAAGGAAAGCUGCAAGUCUGCCCAGAACUGCAGGGAGCUGAGGACUACAGAAAGGAUUGCAUUGCCUGUUUCUACUUGCCACCCAUCUAUCCAGUGUCUGAAGAUAGAAGGAAGAGUUACCUCUUCAGCAAGGAAUAAGGGAUGCUUCCUAGACAAGCAGGGUUAUGCUCUGGCAUCUGCACAGCAGCAAGAAGAAAUGCUGUCCUGCUAACAAACAACUUACCAUGAUUCUAAGAAUCUGGACAGUGCCAUGGAGAUGUUUAUCAGAAAGGACCCUUGAUGAGUCAAAAACCUACCAUCUGCUAGAUGCUGCACUGCAAAGUCAGGGAAGAUUUGUCCAAAAGGUGACACAUGAAAAUGAAGUGGAGCAAACCUCAGGAAAGAAAGAGCUGGGAAGAGAAGAAGACAUAAAGCAGCACUGACUGGAGUCCAGUUGCAUUUUUUCAUCACGCUGUCCUUGCUGUGAGUGGAAAAUGCAAAAGCAGUUCUACACUGCUAACACAAACUUGUGGUUUCACAUUCUGCCAGCUGGAUAUGUGCAGCAGCACAAAAAGUCCCCAUCUACAAAACACAACUCCCAUGAACAGAAUUUUCCUACAUUGUCCGGGACUCACACAAGGGCUGUGAUGCAAGUUCUGCCCAGACAGGCAUGAUGACAGAACACUGCAUGCUAUUCAGGACCAUAAAAUGCUUACUUUAAAAGGACUUCUCAGUGAACAAAACCAAGCAAAAUCCUUCAGGUGAGUAAGGCACGUACCAACCGACUGCAUAUUGAGCACAACAAGAGAUAGCAAACAUAAAUGCAGCAAGCACAGUGUCUCCUGAUUAUGCCAUGCUCCUGCCUUCACACACUUGAUGAGUUCUCUGGCCUCGACACCAUAAGAACUAUAUAAUCUCCUCCAUUGUGCCUUAGAAACCAAGAUUCACAGGGAUAAAACAUUAACACACAGAAAAUCCUAGUAUGUGCAAUCCUACCCAUGGCACCGAUUGAUGCUUAAUUCCAGUUGUGGUUAUUGUGACAAUUUCCAGAAUUUUGGAUUCUAGUCCUUCAAAUUAGUAUAAACAUGUGACCUUGGAGCAAUGCUUGCUGGGCAUUUUAUAAGUUCUCCCCAGUAUUAUUCUCUGUCUUUUAUUAGCCUGAAUAAUUCUGUGGCCCUUUAUCAGACCACUGAUCUUUCACAGACUAUUAACAGAAAUAAUAAAGCAGGGGUAACUCUAGAGCAGAUUUACUGUUCAAGCUGAUGCUUGUGAUAUACCACUGAAGAAGAAGUCAAAUAGAAGACAUCCAUCUGGCAAAGUGUGUGAGUGCAGUGGCACAGAUCAAAAUAGUGAGCAUAUUUAAAUAUACCAUUUGAGAAUUUUUUAUAUUAAAAGAUACACUCACAAUUUAAGGCAGCCUAGUUUGUCUGCAGCCUUUCAGCAGGCAAGCAAGAGCACCUAAAUUCAGCUGCUUCUUCUCUGAGUCAUCCAUUCUAGCACCUCUAACUUUAAAGGCAGUAUAAAGAGAUUGACUUCCUGUGCCUAAUGUCAGCCUUUGUAAACAGCCUCCAUGUGUCAUCUGGACAGUUCAGGGGAACAAGAGGUCUACAUCAGUGUUACAGCAUAAAGAGAAAUCACAUUAGGCAAAUAUUAGAAAUUAAUGUUGUGGGUUUUUUUUUUGCUUCUGCAUGAAAGUGGCACUUUGUGGUGCCAUUUCUUAAACACAGAGCUUUACCCCAUUGUAAUAAAAGAAAUGGGUAAAAACAUCUUCAGCUGGAAGCUGUUUUGUUUCUCAGAGAUGGAAGAAUAAAAUAAAAAAAGGAAUUUGCUUUCAGAAAUUGAACAGUCUGCCUUCUCAGUUUCCACAAGAGAAGUGUGUGGCCUAGUACAGUGAUCCUUUAACUUGUUACAUUCAAGAAACACCCCAGUAUCUCUUGUGUACUGGUUAAUCAAAAUGGACAAGGGAAAGAACUAUGUUCUUUUAAGGAAAAGAACAAUGUUCUGGUUCCAUCACUACCAGCAGCUCCCAUUACUGCUGAAAUGUCAGCUCAACACAGGAGAGACCCCUGAACAGCUCCACAAAGCACAUUGUCAGAGUACUGGGACCUAACAGCAGUACAGAAGGGAGGGAGUCCAUCUAAUGCAACACAAAUGCCCAAGUGUGACUCUGCUGGUUGCAAUACCGGGUGGGAUGUAAUUCAGAUAUGUUAUCUUUUUAGCACAGUUCACACAGGCAUGGCAUGCCCUGGGUUUUCCAGACAUGCAAGCAGCACCUUACUGUAUGUUAUCUGACAUUUUAUGUUCAGUGUGGCCAGAGCUUGAGAAGAAAUAAACUACCAUCAGCUCAUCAAAUAAAGUCACCUUGGGAGGUGAUGGCAGCAGUGGGAUCUACAAGUAGCUCUCAGGGUAGAAAGAUUAUCUCAGCUUCACAUGGGUAAAAUUUCCUCGAGAUUAUUCACUAGGGAGGCUUAGCUUUUUAAGAAUAGCAAAUAUACAAUAAUAGAUACACAUAGAAUUUCCUCACAUGUUUUCUACUCAUGAGUUCAGGUGCUCCUUAUCCGUGUUUCUUACUGUAGAGGGACAAAGCCCUCUGAUAUCCUCUUCCAUUGCUAUGGGAAGACUUUGUUUUCACCCCUCUGAAGAACUUUUUUGGGAACUCCUGUCACCCUUUUGAGUAUCUGUGGAUGUGCCUCCACAUAAGUUGAAAGGAAAUUUGACUUUGGCUCUUCAUAGGACCAUUUAGAGCCCUGUGAAGAAAUGGGUUGGAAAAUGCCAUGGCCACAUUAAUUUCAGUCUGAGCCUGAUAGUCAGAAUAAAAAAAAAAAAAAAAAGGUUGCAGUGAAAAUACUUAUCAUAUCUGUUUUGGAGAACUGAGGAAGGCAGCCUUCCUCCUGUUAACAGCUAAGCAUGCUUUCUUCCCUCCAGAACAGAAGGAUCAAAACCAAAAGGACCUGCCCAGGUAAAAUCCCUCUGCUUCAUGGGGACAGAAGAGCUCACAACAAUCUUCUCAAAAUUCAUCAUUUAUAGACAGAAGAGAAGAUGGCUUAGAAUAUCUUCUUUACUAUUAUUACCCUCAUUGCAGGGGGAUUGGACUGGGCGAUCUUUAAGAGUCCCUUCCAAUCCAAACUAUUGUAUGAUUCUGUAUACUUUUUUGGAUACUUUCUUUAUACUGUAUUUUCCUCUUGCUCCCUGGUGAAUAGAUUUUUAUAUUAAAUGUCAUUGCUGUAUUUUGUGAAUUGUAGAUAUGGGUUGUUUUUUUCUUCUCAGGUGACAUUUACUCCUUGGAAUGGCUUAACUCUACACUGUGACUUAUAUCUCAUUUAAAACCUAAAAAUACAUGGCACAUAUGCGAUGAACACAACACAGUGUCCUCUAUCGACACUCCUGUCGGGACUGAAACUCAAAUGAAGAGCUUCUUGGAUGUAAUACAGAGUCAAACAGUUAAUGAAGGUAAAAGUCACCAAGGCUUAUACAAGAUGACAAAAGGAGAAUGCACUUCAGAGCAAGCUAGGAGCAUGAUUCUUCCUAGACAUUAUGCUGAGUCCUCAACUGAUUUAAA